GAAGAAAUUAGUUAAAUCUUAUAACAUGUGUUUGUCAGGCACAAGUUGUCUUAAUAGACAUUUCUUCG
rnacentral:tRNA from 1 species